GAACUUCCGUUAAUUGAUUAUGACGUGCUUGCACUGAAUGAGAUUUUAACACGAAGUGAGUGGCGGACGGGUGAGUAACACGUGGGUAACCUGCCCAGAAGCAGGGGAUAACACCUGGAAACAGAUGCUAAUACCGUAUAACAGAGAAAACCGCCUGGUUUUCUUUUAAAAGAUGGCUCUGCUAUCACUUCUGGAUGGACCCGCGGCGCAUUAGCUAGUUGGUGAGGUAACGGCUCACCAAGGCGAUGAUGCGUAGCCGACCUGAGAGGGUAAUCGGCCACAUUGGGACUGAGACACGGCCCAGACUCCUACGGGAGGCAGCAGUAGGGAAUCUUCCACAAUGGACGCAAGUCUGAUGGAGCAACGCCGCGUGAGUGAAGAAGGGUUUCGGCUCGUAAAGCUCUGUUGUUAAAGAAGAACGUGGGUGAGAGUAACUGUUCACCCAGUGACGGUAUUUAACCAGAAAGCCACGGCUAACUACGUGCCAGCAGCCGCGGUAAUACGUAGGUGGCAAGCGUUAUCCGGAUUUAUUGGGCGUAAAGCGAGCGCAGGCGGUCUUUUAAGUCUAAUGUGAAAGCCUUCGGCUCAACCGAAGAAGUGCAUUGGAAACUGGGAGACUUGAGUGCAGAAGAGGACAGUGGAACUCCAUGUGUAGCGGUGAAAUGCGUAGAUAUAUGGAAAGAACACCAGUGGCGAAAGGCGGCUGUCUGGUCUGUAACUGACGCUGAGGCUCGAAAGCAUGGGUAGCGAACAGGAUUAGAUACCCUGGUAGUCCAUGCCGUAAACGAUGAUUACUAAGUGUUGGAGGGUUUCCGCCUUCAGUGCUGCAGCUAACGCAUUAAAGUAAUCCGCCUGGGGAGUACGACCGCAAGGGUUGAAACUCAAAAGAAUUGACGGGGGCCCGCACAAGCGGUGGAGCAUGUGGUUUAAUUCGAAGCUACGCGAAGAACCUUACCAGGUCUUGACAUCUUCUGCCAACCUAAGAGAUUAGGCGUUCCCUUCGGGGACAGAAUGACAGGUGGUGCAUGGUUGUCGUCAGCUCGUGUCGUGAGAUGUUGGGUUAAGUCCCGCAACGAGCGCAACCCUUAUUACUAGUUGCCAGCAUUCAGUUGGGCACUCUAGUGAGACUGCCGGUGACAAACCGGAGGAAGGUGGGGACGACGUCAAAUCAUCAUGCCCCUUAUGACCUGGGCUACACACGUGCUACAAUGGAUGGUACAACGAGUCGCGAAACCGCGAGGUUUAGCUAAUCUCUUAAAACCAUUCUCAGUUCGGACUGUAGGCUGCAACUCGCCUACACGAAGUCGGAAUCGCUAGUAAUCGCGGAUCAGCAUGCCGCGGUGAAUACGUUCCCGGGCCUUGUACACACCGCCCGUCACACCAUGAGAGUUUGUAACACCCAAAGCCGGUGGGGUAACCUUUAGGAGCUAGC
rnacentral:rRNA from 1 species